rnacentral:rRNA from 1 species
AUUGAACGCCGGCGGCAGGCCUAACACAUGCAAGUCGAGCGGAUCGGCGGCCGGGUGAGUAAUGCCUAGGAAUCUGCCUGGGCGCGGGGGAUAACGUUCGGAAACGGGCGCUAAUACUGAAUACUUUCACUUUAGCCUAGGUCGGUUUAGCUAGAUGGUGGGGUAAAGGCCUACCAAGGCGACGAUCCGUAACUGGUCUGAGAGUAUGAUCAGUCACACUGGAACUGAGACACGGUCCAGACUCCUACGGGAGGCAGCAGUGGGGAAUAUUGGACAAUGGGCGAAAGCCUGAUGCAGCCAUGCCGCGUGUGUGAAGAAGGUCUUAGGAUUGUAAAGUACUUUAAGUUGGGAGGCGUUACCAACAGAAUAAGCACCGGCUAACUUCGUGCCAGCAGCCGCGGUAAUAC